GUUAGUGUAGCUCAAUGGUUAAGAGCAUUGGCUGCUCUUCCAGAGGAUCUGGGGUAAAAUUCCCAGCACUCACA
rnacentral:tRNA from 1 species